CAGCCGCCGCGGUAACACGUAGGGGGCGAGCGUUGUCCGGAAUUACUGGGCGUAAAGGGCGCGUAGGCGGCCUAAUAAGUCAGAUGUGAAACCCCCGGGCUUAACCCUGGGCUUGCAUUUGAAACUGUUGGGCUUGAGGACAGGAGAGGAAAGCGGAAUUCCCAGUGUAGCGGUGAAAUGCGUAGAUAUUGGGAGGAACACCAGUGGCGAAGGCGGCUUUCUGGACUGUAACUGACGCUGAGGCGCGAAAGCCAGGGUAGCGAACGGGAUUAGAUACCCCGGUAGUCCUGGCCGUAAACGAUGGAUACUAGGUGUGGGAGGUAUCGACCCCUUCCGUGCCGUAGCCAACGCACUAAGUAUCCCGCCUGGGGAGUACGGCCGCAAGGCUGAAACUCAAAGGAAUUGACGGGGGCCCGCACAAGCGGUGGAGCAUGUGGUUUAAUUCGAUGCAACGCGAAGAACCUUACCAGGUCUUGACAUCCCUUUGACCGGUAUAGAGAUAUACCUUUCCUUCGGGACAGAGGAGACAGGUGGUGCAUGGCC
rnacentral:rRNA from 1 species